GGAGAGAUGGCCGAGUGGUCGAAGGCGCAGCACUGGAAAUGCUGUGUGGGGUAACUCACCGUGGGUUCGAAUCCCACUCUCUCCG
rnacentral:tRNA from 1 species